rnacentral:rRNA from 1 species
GAUGAACGCUAGCGGCAGGCCUAACACAUGCAAGUCGAGGGGCAGCACAGAAACAGCAAUGUUUUGGUGGCGACCGGCGGACGGGUGAGUAACGCGUAUGCAACCUACCUUUAACAGGGGGAUAACGGAGAGAAAUUUCCACUAAUACCCCAUAACAUCGAUCAAGGCAUGUUAAUUGGUUGAAAACUUCGGUGGUCAAGGAAGGGGAUGCGUUGUAUUAGGUAGUUGGUGAGGUAAUGUCUUACCAAGCCUAAGAUACAUAGGGGGACUGGGAGGUUAGCCCCGCACACUAGUACUGAGACACGGACCAGACUCCUACGGGAGGCAGCAGUGAGGAAUAUUGGUAAAUGGGGGCAACCCUGAACCAGCCAUGCCGCGUGCAGGAAGACGGCUCUAUGAGUUGUAAACUGCUUUUAAACAGGGAUAAAGCACAGUAUGUAUACUGUGUUGAAGGUACUGUAAGAAUAAGGAUCGGCUAACUCCGUGCCAGCCGCCGCGGUAA